GGCCGCUUAGCUCAAUGGUAGAGUGUUGCUCUCCUAAAGCAUUGGUUGCGGGUUCGAGUCCCGUGGUGGUCG
rnacentral:tRNA from 1 species